GCGUCAACGACAAACGCCAUCGGUGGUGUUAGUGAGCGCCGUUUUUUAUUGAAAUAUUUUUCCUCAGUGUAUAUUCACGAACGUCAUAGACCGAGCAACUUCCUAGUGAGCACGCAUUGGCACUGAGUACCUCUGACAGCAGGUGCAUAAGCGCAUUCGGUGCAGUACGUUAUACUUAACACUUUCACAUGUACGGCGUGUUUCUUAAAGGAAUUUUGAGCAAGUGGAUCGCUGUUUGUUGCUGCCGGUGCCGAGGUUGCUGCUGUUGAUUGCUAGAGUUGCUGGAGCUGUUGUUUUGGAGCUGAGGAUAAUUUUGGCAGUUGAUUGUGCCUGCCUGCUGUUGCACCUGGUCGGAGGGCCUUUUUUAUUUGGAGUUGUGGUUUUAUUUUUACACGUUCGAACAGCGGCUAAGAUUAUUGCCCCAAUAGCAGUACGCUGAGUGAUCAGUAUAUAUAACCACGAAUGGCGUCGAACGACGGAAAUGAAACACCACCUAAUAAUAAUCCGGUGUUGCUAUUACAAGCAGCACUCACAUUCAAUCCGGCAGCGUACAAUCUGCCACAAUAGGGAUCUUUAGGGAUGUGCGGGUUAAGGCAUAUUCUGCUGCAGAUUAGUACCUUUGUUUCCUUUUAGGACAAUAACACAUACAAACCCAUGCGACUUACACGACUCUAUAGGUUGCCUUAUCAGAUCUACCAUAGUUUGCAGAUGAAACUUGGAAUGGCAGGCUGUUAGCGGAUUGACAAAGUACCAGAUCAUGCUGUGUGGGGUGCUGUCCCGGUUAACAAUGAGGCGAACGAGAUAUUUGCUGAUACGUCAUUUAGUCGGACAACUGUCAGUUUGUUGGUUGAAUUUAAUUUGGUUUUUUUUUAAUUUAAAAAUCAGAAAAUAAUAAUUAAGGUUUAAGAAUGAUAUGAGUGUACUCGUAAGGACACCUGCUAUCAAUAAAUGUGAAAAACUGGCACAAUUUUUCCAAAUUAAAGAUCCCUAUUCCGUUUUAUACAUCUUCCUACGUCGGAAGUGCGUAGUGUUUGGUCAGGAUGG